AUUGUGGAAGAUAACGAGCCAAAGGAGAAACUGUUGAAUCGAUUCACGAGGGAGGUCAUGAGGGCCGGCAUCAUCCAGGAAUGCAAACACAGAAGGUUCUUUGAGAAUAAGCCGGAUGAAGUUAAACGCAGGACCCGCGACGCCGCCAAGCGCAAUCGCCGAAGACGAACGAUGUUUAGGGGUCCAGCAGCACAGGAAAGAUAAGAAGGCAUCAACGGUACCACCCCGAAAGCCCAGAAAGAUACAAGAGAUGAUGAUAACUGGGAAGUUCCUGAAAACCUUCCCCAGACACUGUUGUUAUGUAUGUAAGAAUGUAUGUAUGAGCCUAAAAGGCUAUCCAUUUUAUCCAUGUAAUUUUGGCUUUGGCUUGUAGAUGAAUUAUGGAAAGAGUGAUUAGAGUUUUAUUGGAGAUAAGUAUGCCAAAUUAAUUCAAGCAAUGUUCUUGUUUCUUCAAA